rnacentral:rRNA from 1 species
GACGAACGCUGGCGGCGUGCCUAACACAUGCAAGUCAACUUGACUGAAGGAGCAAUCUGACAGUAGAGUGGCGCAAGGGUGCGUAACGCGUAAGUAACUUGCCCAAGGUAAGGAAUAACGUCGAGAAAUCGGCGCUAAUACCUCAUAAUGCAGCGGAUCCGCAUGGAUAUGUUGUUAAAGGUUUACCGCCUUGGGAUAGGCUUGCGUCUGAUUAGCUAGUUGGUGUGGUAACGGCACACCAAGGCUACGAUCAGUAACUGGUCUGAGAGGAUGAUCAGUCACACUGGAACUGAGACACGGUCCAGACUCCUACGGGAGGCAGCAGUGAGGAAUAUUGGGCAAUGCUCGAAAGAGUGGCCCAGCAACGCCGCGUGGAGGAUGAAGGUAUUCUAUAUCGUAAACUCCUGUGAGAGCAGACGAAAGACAGAUUAUUAAUCUGGAUGACUGUAUGCUCAGAGGAAGCCCCGGCUAACUACGU